rnacentral:rRNA from 1 species
AGACCCGAAACCCGGUGAUCUAGCCAUGGGCAGGUUGAAGGUUGGGUAACACUAACUGGAGGACCGAACCGACUAAUGUUGAAAAAUUAGCGGAUGACCUGUGGCUGGGGGUGAAAGGCCAAUCAAACCGGGAGAUAGCUGGUUCUCCCCGAAAGCUAUUUAGGUAGCGCCUCGUGAAUUCAUCUCCGGGGGUAGAGCACUGUUUCGGCUAGGGGGCCAUCCCGGCUUACCAACCCGAUGCAAACUGCGAAUACCGGAGAAUGUUAUCACGGGAGACACACGGCGGGUGCUAACGUCCGUCGUGAAGAGGGAAACAACCCAGACCGCCAGCUAAGGUCCCAAAGUCAUGGUUAAGUGGGAAACGAUGUGGGAAGGCCCAGACAGCCAGGAUGUUGGCUUAGAAGCAGCCAUCAUUUAAAGAAAGCGUAAUAGCUCACUGGUCGAGUCGGCCUGCGCGGAAGAUGUAACGGGGCUAAACCAUGCACCGAAGCUGCGGCAGCGACACUCAGGUGUUGUUGGGUAGGGGAGCGUUCUGUAAGCCUGCGAAGGUGGCCUGUGAGGGUUGCUGGAGGUAUCAGAAGUGCGAAUGCUGACAUAAGUAACGAUAAAGCGGGUGAAAAGCCCGCUCGCCGGAAGACCAAGGGUUCCUGUCCAACGUUAAUCGGGGCAGGGUGAGUCGACCCCUAAGGCGAGGCCGAAAGGCGUAGUCGAUGGGAAACGGGUUAAUAUUCCCGUACUUGGUGUUACUGCGAAGGGGGGACGGAGAAGGCUAUGUUGGCCGGGCGACGGUUGUCCCGGUUUAAGCGUGUAGGUGUGUGUUCCAGGUAAAUCCGGUUCACUUUAACACUGAGGCGUGAUGACGAGGCACUACGGUGCUGAAGCAACAAAUGCCCUGCUUCCAGGAAAAGCCUCUAAGCAUCAGGUAACAUCAAAUCGUACCCCAAACCGACACAGGUGGUCAGGUAGAGAAUACCAAGGCGCUUGAGAGAACUCGGGUGAAGGAACUAGGCAAAAUGGUGCCGUAACUUCGGGAGAAGGCACGCUGACACGUAGGUGAAGUGAUUUACUCAUGGAGCUGAAGUCAGUCGAAGAUACCAGCUGGCUGCAACUGUUUAUUAAAAACACAGCACUGUGCAAACACGAAAGUGGACGUAUACGGUGUGACGCCUGCCCGGUGCCGGAAGGUUAAUUGAUGGGGUCAGCGCAAGCGAAGCUCCUGAUCGAAGCCCCGGUAAACGGCGGCCGUAACUAUAACGGUCCUAAGGUAGCGAAAUUCCUUGUCGGGUAAGUUCCGACCUGCACGAAUGGCGUAAUGAUGGCCAGGCUGUCUCCACCCGAGACUCAGUGAAAUUGAACUCGCUGUGAAGAUGCAGUGUACCCGCGGCAAGACGGAAAGACCCCGUGAACCUUUACUAUAGCUUGACACUGAACAUUGAGCCUUGAUGUGUAGGAUAGGUGGGAGGCUUUGAAGUGUGGACGCCAGUCUGCAUGGAGCCGACCUUGAAAUACCACCCUUUAAUGUUUGAUGUUCUAACGUGGACCCGUAAUCCGGGUUGCGGACAGUGUCUGGUGGGUAGUUUGACUGGGGCGGUCUCCUCCUAAAGAGUAACGGAGGAGCACGAAGGUUGGCUAAUCCUGGUCGGACAUCAGGAGGUUAGUGCAAUGGCAUAAGCCAGCUUGACUGCGAGCGUGACGGCGCGAGCAGGUGCGAAAGCAGGUCAUAGUGAUCCGGUGGUUCUGAAUGGAAGGGCCAUCGCUCAACGGAUAAAAGGUACUCCGGGGAUAACAGGCUGAUACCGCCCAAGAGUUCAUAUCGACGGCGGUGUUUGGCACCUCGAUGUCGGCUCAUCACAUCCUGGGGCUGAAGUAGGUCCCAAGGGUAUGGCUGUUCGCCAUUUAAAGUGGUACGCGAGCUGGGUUUAGAACGUCGUGAGACAGUUCGGUCCCUAUCUGCCGUGGGCGCUGGAGAACUGAGGGGGGCUGCUCCUAGUACGAGAGGACCGGAGUGGACGCAUCACUGGUGUUCGGGUUGUCAUGCCAAUGGCACUGCCCGGUAGCUAAAUGCGGAAGAGAUAAGUGCUGAAAGCAUCUAAGCACGAAACUUGCCCCGA